CUCAGUCCCCCAGUCCCCCAGUUCCCCAGGCCCCUGUCCCCCUUUCAUCCUGCAAGCUUCCAGAUCAUGAUUUUAUCAUCUGUCUUUUGUCUUCUUGGUUCAUGCUCUCAGGCUCCACAAUGCAACUGUGAAGUGAAGUGGCCUUUGGGGAUACAGAGAGGAAGGAGGACAGAGAGAGGUGGGGCUUUCCUGUUUCUUCUCAGUGUCCAGGGUGCUUUGGGCUCCAGGUGGGCCUCAGGAGCCAGUAUCUGGAAGCUUAGAGAGCUACUGAGAAGAGGGACUAUUUCUGGAUCAGAGGAGAGAGAGCUGCUGAGGCUGGUUGGGACGGUAUUUAUAGAGCCAACCUUGGAGAGCAGGGAUGCUCAUAUCCCUGGAACCUGCCCCCGUGUACAAAUUUCUAAAGAUAGAUCAGUGUGGCAUCUGGUAUGAGACAAGGUACACUAAUUCCUUUUAAAUCCACCAAGAACUUUCUCCUAAUAAAUGCCAGCCUAUUUUCUCAGUGCUACUUCUUCCCUCUCCCCUCAGUAUCUGCCCUGUCCUGUCAGUAUCUUGGUUACUGGUAGGUAAUAGCUCACUUCCGGGGCCACUGAGGGAGCAAGCCAGGGAGCGACUUGUUUAGAGUGACCCAGCGUCUCUGUGAUGGCCCCCAACCCAGGGCUAGAAUCAGCAGCAGGUGGAAGAAAGGGGAAGGCAACUCAUGUUUUUGAAAGCCUGUCAUAUGCCAGCACUGUGCUAGGUGACUUACGCACCGUGUCAUUUUAUCUGUGCACCACCUCUGUGAAGUUGGUGUUAUAAUGCCCAUUUUACAGAUGAAGAAAGGAACACUCAGUGGACUCAGUGGCUUGUCUAAGACUGCUCUAAAAUGAUGGAGAUAAGAUGCUACUCACCCAACUCAGCCUAAGGGACUGGGAGAAAGAUGAAACUUGGGCUUGGAGAACUAAGUAAGUUGCUCAGUGCCCCACCGAGAGUAAGAUCAAGCUGAGAUCACACCCUCUGGAACGUGUGUGCCCAUAGCACCUAUCGACUUCCUGGUUCUGGCUGCAUCUGGACGCAGUGAUCAAAUCCAGUGGCAGCCUGUUUGCUCUGGUGUUUUCACUGCUUCUCCAUUGACUGUUCUACAUCCAACACAUCGCCUGUGCAGUAGGUAAUGGGAUUUGAUGGUUAAGGUGACCUCAGCUCCAUCAAGCCACAGGCCAUUCGCCCCACCCCAGAGCACAUGCUGCUUCUAGCUCAGGCCCAUAGGGACAUCGUGGUCCUCAGUGUUGGAACGUGAAUGGGGUGGCCAAGGCUGCUGGAGGCCUGCUCCUCUCCAAGCCUGCAGAGCUCCUCUUAAAGCCUUGGCAACUCUACCUCCAGGCCCUGGUGGGCAGAUCUUGGCACUUUUCCUGGGAAGGUAGGACCAAGAGAUCAGGGUGGCAAAACCAGCUCAUUAGAAAUGGAACUCAUAGUCUGCGGCGUCCCAGCUGAGAACCUUCCAACCUGUCCUUUCUGAUAAAUUUAGCUCUAUUCAUUGGUAAGGACCUGAGUCCUCUUUCUUCUGGAAAACUAAUUUCUUUCUUUCUCAACCUACCUGUGCACUUGUUGUGUGCUCUGCACACUCUGGAACUACAAUGGCCUUUAGAGUACACAGUCCAAACUCCUAGCCAAUUCUGGAAUUCCUUCUCCAUCUUCUCCACUGUAUUCAUCCUCUGCUUGGUUCCCUAACCUUCAAAGAAGCCCAUUCCUUGAUGAGAUAGCUCUAAGCAUUUGAAAAUUUUUCCUCUUUUUGAGCAAAAAUAUGCCUCUGGACUUUGUUCAUGAGAACUCUUCAGAUCUUUAAAGAGAAUCAUCAGGGCUCCUUGGGGUCUCCCCCUUUCCAAACAAAACCUGAGGAUUUUCAAGUAACAUGGUCUCUAGACCUUUCACCAUCCUGAGAAUGGCUUCUUCAUGUCCCUGUAAGUGGUUCCCAGACCUUAAUAUAAAUCACAGUUGACUGGGGUGCUUGGUAAAAAUACUGACUUUAGGGGCCUCAUCCUGGAGGGAGGUGGGGAACAUGUGUGCUUUUUCAGCAAGUGGAGAAACAAACCCCAAACAGUGUGUUUCUUAGAUGCCGUUCCUUUGGAAGACAGUACCAAAUAGGGCUGUUUGCAGUUGUAUUAGAGAAUGUAUGUUCAAAAGAUUUAAAUGACAUCAUUUUAGCAGUAAGUCGUAGAACACUAGCAUGGUCUCCAUUACCCUUGAAAAAAUGACCAAGGCUCAUUAAAAUCAAAUUCAAGCUAGAAAACAUACAAAUUAACCAACCAUAGUUUUAAAACACUUUUCUGGCUAACAUGUUACAUCUGCUAGGCUGGAGGCUUGGAAUUACCAGAUGAGUCAUGUGCAGAAUUACAGCGAUCUGCCCCACAGCCCAGGCUGAAAUCUAAAUGAAGACCCCUGCAAAGCUACCCAAAGGUCAGGUAGCAUGGCAGGAGACAUCCUGGCCUUGUGGGGAGAAGCAGGUGGCAGGGAGAUUUGGGAGCCCCACCUGGGGCUGCCUGCAUUUAUCCGCAGUGUCACAAUUAACCCUCAGAGCAGCACUGAGAGGGAGUUAUUAUUCCCAUUCUAUAAGGGAGGAAACUGGGGCUCAGUAAGACUAAGGCACUCGAUUACAGCAGGUCUUGCAGAAAACGUUCCAAACACACGCUCCUUUCCUUCCACCACAAUGCAUUGUUAGUCAUUCUCUUUUUGUUUUAUGUAUGAAAAUCCUAGGUAUCCAGGAAACUGUGUGAUCACGAGGCUUAGACCAUGCGUCUGACCCCUCCCACCCUCACCGUGCCCCACAGGCAGGGUGGGCAAGCCAGUGGCACUCAGGACAGUGUGCUGAAGUGAAUUGCAUUGGUUCCUAGCAUUGUGCGAUUCACUAGGGUGUGUGGAAAGAGAAAGUGAGGAUGAUGCUUUGUGACUCCUCUUGCUGUUUCUGGCUACAAAUACCUGCCCCUGCCCAGCUGCCCCUGCCUAUUCCUCAAGGAUGUUCAGGGAGGGGUCUCUAAAGAGACCAGCUGGUAAAGAGAUAUUGUACCAGCAUUAUUAUAAUUGUUAUUAAAAGCCACUGGUUUUACUGGGGCCCAUUGUUACUCAGAAAGAGUCUCUCAACCUAGCCCUGGCUUUCGACCUUCAACUCCUUCACAUCCCAGUGCCCUUUGCUUGUAGAAAUGAGUCAAAUGGUUGAGCUUUUGCACAAGAUUAUGAUGAAGGAAGCAGAUUAUGUUAGGAAGCAGAUUUAGCAGUCAGCUCUAUUUUCCUUUGUGUGGAGUUUCUUAUCUUGUCUGUGUCCUCAAGUGUCACCACUGUGACCACUCUAAUCGUGUGUUUGCUAUGAUGUGGAGAAGAAAAUGGAUGAUAGGAGAGAGUCCAGCGGUUUUGCAUCUGCCCCAGCAGAGCUAGGGGUAGAACCUGCCAUACAACUGUCGCCAUGGUCCCAGUGGAGCAACACAGGGCUCAGUAGGGGUGAGCCCAACUUCAGGAAGUUAUGUCUUGCAAUUGAAGGAGGAUGGGCAGGGGUCAGGGGCUCUGAAAACCUAACAGUCUAGAGCAGUGGCUCCCAGACCUUAGCAUAAAUCACAGUCGACUGGGGUGCUUGGUAAAAGUACUGAUUUUAGGGGCCCUAUUUUAGAAAUCCUGCCAAUGACAAGAACAUAUGCUGUGUGCUGCUUGCUACACCAAGGAUGUUGCUAAGAGCAUCACAGGUACCAACUCACCUGGUCUUCACAACCACCCCCACUGAGCAAGCACUCCUCUUUCCAUCGUUCAUGUGAAGAUACUUGAGGAUACGGAGAGAUACGGCAUGUUAGGAGGCAGAGCUGGGACUCGAAAAGUCCCUGUUCUUCCCUCUCUUCCUGGGCAGGAGGUUUGCGAAGGGCCUUGGAAGCUGCAUCUUCUAAGCUAGUGCAGGCAGUCUAGAGAGUCUGGAGCAUGUGCACUCUGAGGCUAGGGAUACUCAUCACAGCCCACUUGCCCUGACAUACCAGAGAGGUGUCCAUUUAGUGAUUUAACCUCCUCUGUACAAUGCCCCAGGGACCCCAAUCUCCUUGGGAUCUUAAUCUUCUCAGUGACACAGUAGAGGCUGCAGAGAAGAGCGAAUUCAUGAGGGUCAUGCUGGGUUAGUCUGACGGGCGUCGACCACACUCGGCACGGUGGGAAGACCACCAUCGUCUUUGUCUGCAUCAGCAAACUUUGGAUGAGCCACGGAGUGCUGAAUUCCAGUGGACACUGGGGACGCAGAAAGGAUGAGACUGGGUCCUUGAGUUUAUGUGGGGGCGUCAGGGGAUGCUCAGUAAUGAAACCCAGUCCAGUCUUUUGUUUCAGGCCGCAGAAACGCUCAGGCCUGGCCUGUGAAGUCUAUUCUUUGUAUUUUAACCUCUGUGGUCUCAUAGCCUCCGAAUCCUUGAUUCAUGCCUUGUAUGUUAGUCUGGGUGUUCUCAAAUGUUAGUCUUUUGGAUAUCAUCUUAAAGAGACUUUCUAUGAUAUGAGUACCACUUGCACAAUUAUUAACUGAAUAUAUUUGAAACUGACUUACACUUUUUUACUUACAAUUAAUUGUUUUAAAAGGAAAUUUUUGUGUUAUAUAUUUUUUUCUAGUGUACAGAACAAUGAUUCUCAAGCACAGAAUCCAGCCAGGGGUGAAAUCUUAUGACUCAAAUGUCCCUAUAACCCCACAGGAACAAAGGGAACAAACGGAGGGUUCACCAGAGUGGGAUCCCAAUGGGGGGAAAUUGGAAUUGAAGGAGAGAAGGAGGAGCAUCCUGGUACCAGCCAGAUUCAUCUCAAGUCCAUGUUCCAUGCUUUCGGAAACACCGCCCAGGCCAUGCACCCCAGCCUGUGCUUUCUGAAACAAGCUAUGCCAUUCUGCUCCUCCGAGUGUUCACUCACCCUGUUUGCUCCUCCUGGGGGUCCUUACCCGCGCAAGAGACUGGGAGAAAAGAGCAUCAUCGUCCAUGGUACCACCCCUUCCCAACAGCACUUCCCUCCACCUGCCUUUCUCCUGCUCACGUGCGUCUUCUCAUUCUGCCUAAAGAAUGUCCACUCUUCUUUGAGGUUUUGCUCCAUUGCGGACUCCUGGCGAUGCCAUUCUGGUCACCCCCAGGCAGAGUUGCUCUGCCUGCCCCACUCCCACAGCACUUUGAGCAUCUCCCCAUGCUCUGUUAGGAAGCAGGGACUGGACAGAGAUGCUUGCGGGCAUCUCUGUAUUUCUGGUACCUAGCAGAGCUGAGUUUUUCUAAUGAUGAUUUUGGAACGGUCAUCAUGUGCCAGAGUUUGUGCUAAGAGCUUUAGGUAUAUUACCUCAUGCAUUCCUGCAGCAACAUUUAUCCCCAUUUUACAGGUCAGGAAAUCGAGGCUCAGAGAGCUUAAAGUUGCCUGACAUCAUACAGAAAGUAAAGAGUGGAGAUUCACACCCAGGUCUGUUGGAUUUCAGGGCCUCUGUACGUCUUAACACUGCACCAUUCAGCCAUGGUCACUGGAGGACAACAUAUGUUUGGAGUAUAAAUAAAUGGUACAAAUGAAUGAAUGAGUGAGUGAAAGAACAUAGAAUGGUGUUUGCCGGGGCUAUACACGUCCAGCCUGAGCUGGCCCGGAUUCAUUCGGCGGGAGGUGAUUGUAAAAUGUGUUGAGAAUGAAUAAUAACAUGCUCUGGUUUUGGAAUACCAAGAAAAAGCCCAGAAUUUGUGGGCCAGUGGAAGUGAGAAAGGAACCAACACUGAAGGUGGCGUUUUGCUUCUUGUACCUCAGCUGCCUCCAAAGGAUUAACUUCUUGAGAGCAGGGCCCGCUUUGCGUCCUCAGUUUAUAAUCCUGCUCCUGGCAAAAAGUGGGUGUUCAGUGGAUGCCCAUGCAAUUCAGCCGUUAAAUCUGAGCCUAUUCCUUUUAUGCACUGGUUCAUGGUAGGCCUGGUUCAGCACUUGGUUUCACUGUCUGCUUCUGCACAGGGCUUCAUGCUGCCAGCACUCAAUGGAGAAACUUGGGCCCCGGCACAGUGGACCCUAUGAUUCGCAAGUAUAGGAUCCAGCCAGGGGUGAAAUCCUGCCACUCAAAUGUCCCUGUAAUCCCCGUGGAAUGAAGGGAACAAAGGGAGGGGUCGCCAGAGUGGGAUCCCAAUGGAAGGAAAUUGGAAUUGAAGGAGAGAAGGAGGGGCAUCCUGGUACCAGCCAGAUUCAUCUCAAGUCCACGUUCCAUGCUUUCCCCAUUCUGAGCCUUGGUUCCCUCUAACUCGAUAGACUGGAUUCUUGGAAGUCCUUCCUGAUGCGACAUUUGCCAGCCUAGGAUCCAGCCAGAAGUGAGGCUUGCAGACCCAGCUCCCUGAGACACAAAUGCAGGUCUUCCUGAAUGGGGCUGGGGCCAUUAAAAACACUGUCCUCAUGCCCCCUUCCUCCAGCAGGUUACUCCUGGCACAGCUGGGAGAGUGAUCUGCUUCUUCUGCUCAGACAGCAGGCCUUGGAAAUUAUUCAGGAAUAACAAACAGGCCAGAAACAUUUGCAUACGGAAUCACGCAGAACAAUACAUGUUAUUUAAACCAUCUCUGGUUGGCAACAGAAGCAAAAAGCAGCUGAGAUAAAUCUGCAAUGCAAAUCAGCCUUAUUUGGAGCGGAGCCUCAGCUUGUUUUGGGGGUGGGGGCGCUGCAAGAGGCCGGGAGAAGAGAAGGCAUCAUUGUUUCUAUGUACCCCCCUUCCCAACAACACUUUUCUCUGCCUGCCUUUCUCCUGCUCACGUACAUUUUCUCAUUUCUCUCCUUCCCUCCCUUCUUCAGAGAUUAAUGGAAACAAUUUGUCUUCUAAUGUGACUGCAGCUUAUGAAUUCUUUGUCUCACUCUAAUCCUUUAAAUUAUCCACAUAAUAAAAUAUGUAUCCAGUGA